GACAGAGGGUGCAAACGUUGUUCGGAAUUACUGGGCGUAAAGCGCGUGUAGGCGGCUAAGUAAGUCGGGCGUGAAAUCCCCGGGCUCAACCCGGGAACUGCGUCCGAUACUGGAAGGCUUGAAUCCGGGAGAGGGAUGUGGAAUUCCAGGUGUAGCGGUGAAAUGCGUAGAUAUCUGGAGGAACACCGGUGGCGAAGGCGACAUCCUGGACCGGUAUUGACGCUGAGGCGCGAAAGCCAGGGGAGCAAACGGG
rnacentral:rRNA from 1 species